UGCUGCUAGCUGGGGAUCCUGAGGCUACCGCAUUCUUCUUGUCUGGGUGCACGGUGCAUGGGCAGUGGGUGAACUGGUAGAGAGCAAGAUGGGGAAUUGCAUCGACACCACGGCGCGGGUGGAUCACAGCAUGAACAAUGCUGCCUACCCAUCAAAAGUGACAGCAAGACAAGUUUGUCGUCAGUCCCUUCCACAAUUAAGAGCAACUCAAGUCGUUCAACGCUGACUCUUCCAUCAAUGAGAGAUCGAAAUGAGCUUCCUACUCCUCGGAUAGAAGGUGAAAUCUUGUCAUCUUCUAAUUUGAAGGCAUUCACGUUCAAUGAUCUGAAAAAUGCAACCAAGAACUUCCGACCGGACAGCCUUCUUGGGGAAGGAGGGUUUGGGCAUGUCUACAAAGGUUGGAUUGAUGAGCACACGCUUGCUCCUUCAAGACCUGGGAGUGGUAUGGUUGUUGCUGUGAAGAAGCUUAAACCGGAAGGUUUUCAAGGACACAAGGAAUGGCUGACAGAGGUUGAUUACCUUGGCCAACUUCACCACAAGAAUCUUGUUAAGCUCAUUGGUUAUUGCUCAGAUGGUGACAACCGGCUUCUGGUGUAUGAAUUUAUGCCCAAGGGAAGUUUGGAGAACCAUCUGUUUAGAAGUGUGUGCUUCAUCUCUAUGGCUUU